rnacentral:lncRNA from 1 species
GCAAGUGGAGACUCAAGUGCUAUUGAAACCUCUGGGCUGCUGCCAGGGACCCCAGCCCGGGCAGGGGUGCUGUGCUGAGCCUUCCUUGGGGGAGCUGCUGCUCUUUGCUCCAGCCACAUCCUCAUGGGGCAGAAUUCCCCAGCUGCAGUGGAAGAGGAACCAAACAUUGGUGCAGGAGAGCAGGUGGGAUGGCUGGAGGAGGGCAGCCAGCAGUGGAAGCUCUUUCUUUCCUUGCAAUAGUAUUUAUUGGAGGGUUGGCUCCUGCCCUUUGUGGGCAGAGAAUGCCCCCCUCACAGCACGGGGCAGCAGGACAGACCCCUCAGCUUUUCCAGGAGCAGCUGGAGCCUCCUGGGCACAGUCUGGCACCACCAAGUAGCCAGAAAUUCACUCUGGUGAAUCAGGAGGAGCAAGAAGCUGAGCUCUGCUGAAUUUUCAUUGAGAAAACGUCUCAAGUGCAAGGCUGGAGAGGUUUCUCAGAAAGGUUUCCACAUUAAACUCGAUUGCCACUUCCUGAACGGCUCUUGCCAAUCUGGAACUUCUCUGGCGGGCCAGGGCAGCACUGCAAAGCUUGGCUGCUGGGUUAGGAACGUGUCUGUCUUGGCUGCUUGUAAAUACUCUAUUGUGUUGUAAAAUAGAAGAGCUCAGACGUACACUCUGUGCCAGCACUGGGUUGGGAAGGGUGAUGGGAACUAGACCACGCUGCAGCGAUGAUGGCAAAGCAGCUGUGUGGGUAUGAGAGGCUGCUUUUAGGUUGCUAAAGGGUACUCUUAAUUUAUGGGUAGUUUAUCUCUUUCCUCCUAAAUUUGUAUUAUAGCGAUGGGACACUUUGCUUAAUUUUAGUCUGUUGGCUAUAGUGUUGGUAUCUCUUUGGAAAAAAAAUCUCAAAAGUUGCUUCUUGUGUUACUGAACUGACUGUGCUGAAGGCAAAUAUGAAAUGACAGGAGCAAGAAGGGUGCUGAGCCUCUGCUUUAGAGGAGGGAGGGAGGGAGGGAGGCAGUCGAGUUCCCUCUCAAAGCCACUGUGACACCAAGACGGACCCUGAGGUAUCCCAGGCCCUUCCUGCUACCAAGACUGGAACCUUGUUUAACAAGCCAGAACAUGAAAUACCUUUGUGCCAUAAAACCUUCCUGUCAAGGCUGUGCCAGGUGCUCCCGUGACCCGUGUGGGAUGGGCUCAGAGCCGGGAGGGAGCUCAGACCUGCAGAUGAGCCCUGUGAUCCUCUGGGAGCCGGGGGCUGGCAGGAACCCCGGCCCUGCCCAGAGAGCCGCCGUCCCUCGGAGUGUCCUGUGGUCCAGGGAAAGGAACUGCUGAACGGGUUGGAAUCAAUAAAUAGUUACUGCGUUAAAUUCAACGUAAGGUUAGUUUGGUAUUUGUAUGAACUUAAUGAAUUUGGCCUUUUUAUUACCUUCUGCUUGGCUCUGUGUUCCUUCUGCUUGGAUUCUGUCCGUGAGUGUUGAUGUAAAGCCUUGACGUGUUCAGCCUCGUUAGGAGCAUCACAAGAGUGAAGCCAGUCAUCCAGCUGACUUUUGGAGGAACCUGACUGUUGAAAAGCAACUCUAAGGUUAACAGUUUUUAGCAAAUCUGCUGUCAUUAAAUGUGUAUUUCUUUUUAAAAUUAAUUUGCUUGUCCUUCUCAGAAGGAAGCACUUAUUCUUGCAGUUUGGGCAAAUUCACUGCAGCACAAUGCAAGCUGUAAGGGGACAGGUAGAGAAAUGACUUUUUAAAUAUUGUAUAAUAAAGUUAGUAUUAAUUCCUAUGGUGUUGUUGUUUUUUUGCCAACAGUUUUGCAAUCAGCCAGAAAUUCUGUUCCUGGUAGUGGUUUUGUUCCCAGUGUUCCAGCUGGUGGUGUUAAAUAGUUUCCUUUCUCAGCCCAGAAAGAUCCCUUGGGAACAGGGUCUGGUGGCUGGGAGGACCUGGAAUAGUCCUGGCAGCUAAAGAGGAGCCAUCAGUGGAGGUUAAACGUGGGCUUAGCUGAGCCCCAGCCCCUGGUCAGUCCCAGCAGCACCAGUAAAUCUUGAGCUGAGGGCUCUUUACCUGAGAGCUCUGAGCUGGACUCAACACCAAAGCUCUGUAAAUCCAGACUCUCCCAGCAGCAUUCCAACGCUUCCACCAUCCCCAUUUCCAAGUCUUUCCCCAUAACCGAGUCCCAUAAAAACUGAAGGAGAAUUUUAGAAAGGCCACUUCUAAAUCUGCAGAGGUAGAGUGUUGUUUGAGCAGGAAAAGCAUUACCUUUUGCUUUAGUUAGGGGAAUGAUUUUAUUCUUGGAGUAUCAAAACUGGUUUGCAUUUGAGGACCCUCAUGGGUGGGGGAACUGGACAUCAGCUGCAUCCAACACAGCCCAAAGCAAACGCUCUCUGCUUCACUUAAAUAAACCACAGAUAGUUUCAGUUACAUGUUAGGUGAUGUUCCAUGAAGUCUUGGGGUUUUAUUUUUUUUUCCUAGUUCAUUCUUGCUGCUCCCACCUUUCCCUCUGUGUAUCUAAGGUUCCAGAAUGCAAACAGUACUGCAGAUACCUCUUGUUUGAAAUAAAGGAUCAAAUGUGCCAUGUUUUUUUUUUUUUAAAAGGAAGAAAAAAAGAGAAAAAUCUUCCCCCUUGAUUUAUUUUUUCAGUGUUUUCAUAUCUAAGAGCCAAGCAGUGACAUGUACAGAAAAUCUUUGACUAGUAAAAAAAACCUUGCUGUGUGUCGGAUUAUUGAACAAUUAACUGUUUAUAUUAAAAU